CUACAAUCCUAGGUCUUGUGAGUUCUAAGGAUCUGCUAUGUUUCAUGGCUUUGGACAUAUUAGGAAAACAGAAUAUACCCAUCUUCAAGAAUCCAAAAGACAUUGGAUAUGCAGAGGCCUAAAGAAGAAAGGAUAACUAUCCAGAAAGAAUCACCAAUCAAAGAAGAAUCUGAAUUAUGGUGCCAAUAUCUAUACAGGACUCAUGAAUGCAUCAGGAGACUUGGCCAGUGACAGACCUAUGCCAUGCAGGCUUGGGUAAGUGCCCACUAUGCUGUUCGCAGGAACUCACCUAAUCACAUAUGUCUCAGAACAUACC